rnacentral:rRNA from 1 species
UGGUUAAAAAGCUCGUAGUUGGAUCUCGGCGGUCUGAGGGCGGUUCGCUUGAUUGAGUGCUACUGCUCUAUAGGCCGUGGUUUUGCCAGAGGUCUCGGGGUGCUCUUAACCGUGUGUCCUGCGAUGCUGGCAGGUUUACUUUGAAAAAAUUAGAGUGCUCAAAGCAGGCUUUUACGCCUGAAUAUUCGUGCAUGGAAUAAUAGAAUAGGAAGUCGUUUCUAUUUUGUUGGUUUUCGGAAAUCGACUUAAUGAUUAAUAGGGACAGUCGGGGGCAUUUGUAUUCAAACGACAGAGGUGAAAUUCUUGGACCGUUUGAAGACAAACUACUGCGAAAGCAUUUGCCAAGAAUGUUUUCAUUAAUCAAGAACGAAAGUUAGAGGUUCGAAGGCGAUUAGAUACCGCCCUAGUUCUAACCAUAAACGAUGCCAGCUAGCGAUCUGCCGACGUUUUCUUUGUAGACUCGGCAGGAAGCUUCCGGGAAACCAAAGCAUUUGGGUUCCGGGGGAAGUAUGGUUGCAAAGCUGAAACUUAAAGGAAUUGACGGAAGGGCACCACCAGGAGUGGAGCCUGUGGCUUAAUUUGACUCAACACGGGAAAUCUCACCAGGCCCGGACACUGGAAGGAU